UGGUUAAUACCCUGAGUAGAUGACGGUACCGGAAUAAGAAGCACCGGCUAACUACGUGCCAGCAGCCGCGGUAAUACGUAGGGUGCGAGCGUUAAUCGGAAUUACUGGGCGUAAAGCGUGCGCAGGCGGUUUUGUAAGACAGGCGUGAAAUCCCCGGGCUUAACCUGGGAACUGCGUUUGUGACUGCAAGGCUAGAGUACGGCAGAGGGGGGUGGAAUUCCACGUGUAGCAGUGAAAUGCGUAGAGAUGUGGAGGAACACCAAUGGCGAAGGCAGCCCCCUGGGUCGAUACUGACGCUCAUGCACGAAAGCGUGGGUAGCAAACAGGAUUAGAUACCCUGGUAGUCCACGCCCUAAACGAUGUCAACUAGGUGUUGGGAGGGUAAAACCUUUUAGUGCCGUAGCUAAC
rnacentral:rRNA from 1 species